GCUUUAACGCCGAAUUCUCAGCUGUAGUCUUUGUUGAAGGAUGUGAAUUUCUGAAUGCAACUGAAGAUGUCAUUUUGCAGACCUCCUUCACGGUAUGGAACAGAAAGAGAGCAUGACAAAUCAUUCAAUCGACCGCAUGGCUGACAGAACAAGCAAGAUGCUGAAAGUUCAACCGGUCGAAGAUCUCGUUCAAAGACUGAUUGCAAAGCAAGCGUGCAUGUAAAAAGAAGGCCUGAUGGAAAAUGGGUAAUUCACAGUUUUGUGAAGGGGCAUAAUCAUGAGCUUUUACCAGCUCAAGCUAAAAGUAGGCAUGGCUAUAUGAACUUUUGUGAUGUGGUUUCUUCUGAUACAAUCCACGUUGUGAACAAAUAUAAGUUGCCUCUCUUGCGCUUUUGUUGGAGUAAAUCUGCACUAUCAAUUUUUACUGCUUGGGCGUGCCUUAAUAUCAGAUGAAAGUUGUAACUUGAUCCAGAACAUCUGUUGUUUAUUACGGAUCAUGUUAAUAAAUGGUAGAAGGGUUUGGUGUUAAAGAUCUUGUAGAGGUGGUUGGUUGUACCGUAGUUCUGAUUCUUUAGGCUGCAUGUUAAGCUGUAAUGAGAGUAUUGUAGUUUGUCAUGAAAAUUUUCAAAUGUUCUUCAUUUUCCAUUAGUUCAUAUUUCAUUUAUCGUCA